GGCGAACGCUGGCGGCGUGCUUAACACAUGCAAGUCGAGCGGUAAGGCCCCUUCGGGGGUCCACGAGCGGCGAACGGGUGAGUAACACGUGAGCAAUCUGCCCAUCACAUCGGGAUAACUCCGGGAAACCGAAGCUAAUACCGAAUACGACCACCUCCGGCAUCGGAUGGUGGUGGAAAGUUCCGGCGGUGAUGGAUGAGCUCGCGGCCUAUCAGCUUGUUGGUGGGGUAACGGCCCACCAAGGCUUCGACGGGUAGCCGGCCUGAGAGGGUGACCGGCCACACUGGGACUGAGACACGGCCCAGACUCCUACGGGAGGCAGCAGUGGGGAAUAUUGGACAAUGGGCGAAAGCCUGAUCCAGCAACGCCGCGUGAGGGAUGACGGCCUUCGGGUUGUAAACCUCUUUCAGCAGGGACGAAGCGCAAGUGACGGUACCUGCAGAAGAAGCACCGGCCAACUACGUG
rnacentral:rRNA from 1 species